AGGAAAGCAGGGCUGCUUGGCAGAGGGAAGACACACAGGGGUCGGGAAGGGAACCUCGGGGCUGGGGCUGGGGCUGGGGCUGGGGGGGCGGGGCCUGCAGCUGGCGGUGGAGGCGGCUGCGGGCUCGGGCGGGACCGCGCCGCCCGGGUCGCCGGGGUCGCCGGGGUCGCGCGGGCCGGGUCUGCUGGGCCGCCCGCCGCCGCCCGAGGCCUCCGCCGCAGCCCGGGAGCCCGCGCCAUCCGCGCUCCGGGCCGCGAGGCGGCUUCCCGGGCGCCAGGCCUCGCUCUCGCGGCUUUGAAAAGUUUCCAGCGCGCGUGCCACGGCGGCGGGCGGCGGCUGGGCCGGAGCCCACGCGGCCCGCGCCCCCCGCGGGGAACUUCGCGGCGCUCGGCCGCCCUGUCACUCUCGCUUUCCGACGCGCCUCCCCCCGGGCUCGCGCGCCCCGAGCCCCCGCCCCCGCCCCCCGCCCCUCCCGCGGGGACCUUCCCGGGCGCCCGCCGCUCGCGUCCCCGCCGCCCCGCGCUCCGCCCGCCCCGCCCCGCCCCGCGCCCCCCGCGCCCGCGCCCGCGCCCCGCGCCCCGCGCCUCGCCUCCCAAGCCCGCCCGGCGGCGUCCCGCGCCCGGAGAGCGGCCCCCGGAGCGGGCAGCGGGGCGCGGGGGGCGGGGAGCGGAGGGGAGGAGGGGACCCGCCGCCAGGGGCCGGCUGCUAGCUUCCAGCCGACUUUUCGCCAAUGGUCCAGAGCGACAUGUCCAAGUCGCCUCCCACAGCGGCGGCGGCGGCGGCGGCGGCGGCGCAGGAGAUCCCGAUGGAGCUGCUGGAGAGCGCGGCGCCCGCGGGGGCGCUCGGAGCGGCCGCACAGGUAGCCGGGGCCGCGCCUGCUCCUUCUUUGUGAGCCGCGGGGGCGCCGACCCCCUCCCCCUCCCCCUCCCCCCUUCUCCUCCGCUGCGGUCCCUCGCCUCGCCUCGCCUCGCCUCGCCUGGUGCCCCCGACCCCACCUCGCCCGCGGCCGCCCACUCUCCUCUCCCCGCGCCGGGGACCCUGCCCUCGUCGCCGGUCCCCCCGCUCUCCUGCGGCUUCCAUCUUUCUCCGCUUCCGAAAAGCAAGUGGGAAGGGGCGGGGGAGACCCGCCGGGGCUCAGAGGCGGCCCCCGGGAGGGCGCCCGCUCAGCCCCCCCCCCCCCUCGCCCCUUCCCGGGAGAGGCACAUGGAGAGACAUGAACCAGGCGAGCGGACUGGACCUGCUCAGGAUCGUGAGUCGGGGCGGGCGGGAGGGGCUCGGCGCGCACGCCCACCCUGGGGGCGAGUGGGAGCCGGGCUGGGCGGGGGGCGCCACCCUGCGCCGCGGCCCGCACCCCCGCCCUCCGCACCUGGGCGUCCCGCCGCCUGGACGGCCGCGCUGCCCUCGCCUCUCGCCGCCGCUCGCCUGCGCCCCUCGCUCCUCGCCCUGCAGCCCGCGAGCCGGGGGCGCCAAAGUUUGUCCGUGCCCCCCCCCCCCCCCCCCGCCCCGGAGCGCUGGCCAGGUCCAGACAGCUCGGGACCACCUUCCCGGCGACGGGUGCUAGCGGGUUCGCGGCUCCUGGUGAAACAGGAGAUGCCGGUCUAG
rnacentral:lncRNA from 1 species